AUCCGAGCACAACGUCCUCGCCUCAACUCGGAAAGGGAGAUCUGGGGAGCAGCCAUAGUUCACGCCGGAUACAAAUCCUGAAGAAUCCGAAGAGAUCGAAGGUUCUGGUGAAUUGAGGAGUAGUGGGGAGAGAAUUUACUGAGAUUAAAUGUUGUGUUUAUGGAUUGAACAUAAAUCGCGAUCCGUUACUUGAUCUCUGUUCUACGACGAUGAAGAUGAUGAUAUUAGGAUUUAGUUUCGUGUCAGUAGACGGCGUGGAAAAAGAGGAGUGGUUGUUGGGCCCAAAAUUAAAAAAAAA